GGUAUGGUGGCUCAGUGGUAGAGUGCCUGCUUCAUGAGCAGGAGGUCCUGGGUUUGAUCCCCGACCAAGUCAUACCA